rnacentral:rRNA from 1 species
GAGUUUGAUCCUGGCUCAGAACUAACGCUGGCGGCGUGCCUAACACAUGCAAGUCGUACGAGAAAGUUGGCUUCGGCUGAUGAGUAAAGUGGCGCACGGGUGAGUAACGCGUGGAUAAUCUACCCCUCAGUUGGGAAUAACUCAUCGAAAGGUGGGCUAAUACCGAAUAAUACUGCAUAACUACUGUUGUGUAGUCAAAGAUGGCCUCUGCUUGCAAGCUAUUGCUGAAGGAUGAGUCCGCGUACCAUUAGCUAGUUGGUAGGGUAAUGGCCUACCAAGGCAACGAUGGUUAGCUGGUCUGAGAGGAUGAUCAGCCACACUGGAACUGAGACACGGUCCAGACUCCUACGGGAGGCAGCAGUGAGGAAUAUUGCGCAAUGGGGGCAACCCUGACGCAGCAACGCCGCGUGAGUGAGGAAGGUUUUCGGACCGUAAAGCUCUGUCGAGCGGGAAGAAGUGCAUAAUGGCUAAUAUCCAUUAUGCUUGACGGUACCGCUAAAGGAAGCACCGGCUAACUCCGUGCCAGCAGCCGCGGUAAUACGGGGGGUGCGAGCGUUGUUCGGAAUCAUUGGGCGUAAAGAGCGUGUAGGCGGCUGGAUAAGUCAGAUGUGAAAGCCCUGGGCUCAACCUAGGAAGUGCAUUUGAAACUGUUCAGCUUGAGUAAGGGAGAGGAAAGUGGAAUUCCUGGUGUAGAGGUGAAAUUCGUAGAUAUCAGGAGGAACACCGGUGGCGAAGGCGACUUUCUGGCCCUAUACUGACGCUGAGACGCGAGAGCGUGGGUAGCAAACAGGAUUAGAUACCCUGGUAGUCCACGCUGUAAACGAUGUUCACUAGGUGUUGGGGGGUAUUGACCCUCUCAGUGCCGCAGCUAACGCAUUAAGUGAACCGCCUGGGGAGUACGGUCGCAAGAUUAAAACUCAAAGGAAU